rnacentral:rRNA from 1 species
GAUGAACGCUGGCGGCGUGCCUAAUACAUGCAAGUCGAGCGAACGGACGAGAAGCUUGCUUCUCUGAUGUUAGCGGCGGACGGGUGAGUAACACGUGGAUAACCUACCUAUAAGACUGGGAUAACUUCGGGAAACCGUAGCUAAUACCGGAUAAUAUUUUGAACCGCAUGGUUCAAAAGUGAAAGACGGUCUUGCUGUCACUUAUAGAUGGAUCCGCGCUGCAUUAGCUAGUUGGUAAGGUAACGGCUUACCAAGGCAACGAUGCAUAGCCGACCUGAGAGGGGGAUAGGCCACACUGGAACUGAGACACGGUCCAGACUCCUACGGGAGGCAGCAGUAGGGAAUCUUCCGCAAUGGGCGAAAGCCUGACGGAGCAACGCCGCGUGAGUGAUGAAGGUCUUCGGAUCGUAAAACUCUGUUAUUAGGGAAGAACAUAUGUGUAAGUAACUGUGCACAUCUUGACGGUACCUAAUCAGAAAACCACGGCUAACUACGUG